UUGUUAUCAAGAAAGGUGGAGGGAUUAGACCCAGUGAAACCUUAGCAACCCUUUAGCCGUAAAGAAGGUGCUACAUUCUACCCAUUUUGGGAUGGAUAACGU
rnacentral:ncRNA from 2 species